AAUUUUGGACAAUGGGGGAAACCCUGAUCCAGCCAUCCCGCGUGAAGGAUGAAGGCCUUCGGGUUGUAAAGUACUUUGGGUAGAGAAGAAAAGGUAUCGCCUCAUACGAGAUAAUGAUGACGGUAGCAGAAGCAUAAGCACCGGCUAACUACGUGCCAUAAGCUGCGGUAAAACGUAGAGUGUAAGAGUUAAUCGGGAUUACUGGGCGUAAAACGUGUUAAUGCGGUUCAGAAAGAAAGAUGAGAGAUCCCAGGGCUCAAACUUGGAACUGCAUUUUUAACUGCCGAGCUAGAGUAUGUCAGAGGGGGGUAGAAUUCCACGUGUAGCAGUGAAAUGCGUAGAUAUGUGGAGGAAUACCGAUGGCGAAGGCAGCCCCCUGGGAUAAUACUGACGCUCAGACACGAAAGCGUGGGGAGCAAACA
rnacentral:rRNA from 1 species